AGAAAACGUAGAACACUGAAAGAAGCUGCUAACUAUCUUUCAAAGCGGUUAAAUUCCGUUUGUUUUCU
rnacentral:tRNA from 1 species